AAAAAUUCUUUGAUGAAUCGAAUAUGCAUAGUUCACGCUGAGCUUACUAUGCUGAUACAUAAUUCACUGAUUUGCACGUCAGUCUGAGAAUUUAG